GGGCCCGCACAAGCAGUGGAGCAUGUGGUUUAAUUCGAAGAUACGCGCAGAACCUUACCAACACUUGACAUGUUCGUCGCGACUCUAAGAGAUUAAAGUUUUCGGUUCGGCCGGACGAAACACAGGUGCUGCAUGGCUGUCGUCAGCUCGUGUCGUGAGAUGUUGGUUAAGUCCCGCAACGAGCGCAACCCUCACUUUUAGUUGCCAUCAUUAAGUUGGGCACUCUGAAAGAACUGCCAGUGAUAAGCUGGAGGAAGGUGGGGAUGACGUCAAGUCCUCAUGGCCCUUACGUGUUGGGCUACACACGUGCUACAAUGGUAUCUACAACAGGAAGCAAGACUGCGAAGUUAAGCAAA
rnacentral:rRNA from 1 species